GAUGAACGCUAGCUACAGGCUUAACACAUGCAAGUCGAGGGGCAGCAUGGUCUUAGCUUGCUAAGACUGAUGGCGACCGGCGCACGGGUGAGUAACACGUAUCCAACCUGCCUUAUACUCCCGGACAGCCUUCUGAAAGGAAGAUUAAUACGGGAUGGUAUCACGAGCCAGCAUUUUCUCGUGAUUAAAGAACUUCGGUAUAAGAUGGGGAUGCGUUCCAUUAGAUAGUAGGCGGGGUAACGGCCCACCUAGUCUACGAUGGAUAGGGGUUCUGAGAGGAAGGUCCCCCACAUUGGAACUGAGACACGGUCCAAACUCCUACGGGAGGCAGCAGUGAGGAAUAUUGGUCAAUGGGCGCGAGCCUGAACCAGCCAAGUAGCGUGAAGGAUGACUGCCCUACGGGUUGUAAACUUCUUUUAUAAAGGAAUAAAGUGAGGCACGUGUGCCUUUUUGUAUGUACUUUAUGAAUAAGGAUCGGCUAACUCCGUGCCAGCAGCCGCGGUAAUACGGAGGAUCCGAGCGUUAUCCGGAUUUAUUGGGUUUAAAGGGAGCGUAGAUGGGUUGUUAAGUCAGUUGUGAAAGUUUGCGGCUCAACCGUAAAAUUGCAAUUGAUACUGGCAGCCUUGAGUACAGUUGAGGUAGGCGGAAUUCGUGGUGUAGCGGUGAAAUGCUUAGAUAUCACGAAGAACUCCGAUUGCGAAGGCAGCCUACUAAACUGCCACUGACAUUGAUGCUCGAAAGUGUGGGUAUCAAACAGGAUUAGAUACCCUGGUAGUCCACACGGUAAACGAUGAAUACUCGCUGUUUGCGAUAUACAGCAAGCGGCCAAGCGAAAGCGUUAAGUAUUCCACCUGGGGAGUACGCCGGCAACGGUGAAACUCAAAGGAAUUGACGGGGGCCCGCACAAGCGGAGGAACAUGUGGUUUAAUUCGAUGAUACGCGAGGAACCUUACCCGGGCUUGAAUUGCACUCGAAUAUAGCGGAAACGUUAUAGCUAGCAAUAGCGAGUGUGAAGGUGCUGCAUGGUUGUCGUCAGCUCGUGCCGUGAGGUGUCGGCUUAAGUGCCAUAACGAGCGCAACCCUUGUCUAUAGUUACUAACAGGUGAUGCUGAGGACUCUAUGGAGACUGCCAUCGUAAGAUGUGAGGAAGGUGGGGAUGACGUCAAAUCAGCACGGCCCUUACGUCCGGGGCCACACACGUGUUACAAUGGGGGGUACAGAGGGCCGCUACCACGCAAGUGGAUGCCAAUCCCGAAAGCCUCUCUCAGUUCGGACUGGAGUCUGCAACCCGACUCCACGAAGCUGGAUUCGCUAGUAAUCGCGCAUCAGCCAUGGCGCGGUGAAUACGUUCCCGGGCCUUGUACACACCGCCCGUCAAGCCAUGGGAGCCGGGGGUACCUGAAGUGCGUAACCGCAAGGAGCGCCCUAGGGUAAAACUGGUGACUGGGGCUAAGUCGUAACAAGGUAGCCGUACCGGAAGGUGCGGCUGGAACACCUCCUUUCUGGAGAGGAAUACAGAUCGAAAGGUUCUUGUCCUUGUGCUGCUGGUUGUUUAUUUAACAUAUAACUGUAGAAAUACAGAGAAGAGAAAGAAGAAGCCGGGUCUAAUACAGACUAGGUUGAACUUAGUCCUAUAGCUCAGUUGGUUAGAGCGCUACACUGAUAAUGUAGAGGUCGGCAGUUCAACUCUGCCUGGGACUACGAAUCUCAAGAUUCGGGGGAUUAGCUCAGCUGGCUAGAGCAUCUGCCUUGCACGCAGAGGGUCAACGGUUCGAAUCCGUUAUUCUCCACCAUUAUCGGCCACAUAAGAAACAGAGAUAAAACGGUCUAUGACAUAUUGUACAAGCAAAAAGUAAUUUUAGUAGUAAAGAGCUAGAAGUAUAUAUCAUCCCGCCGACAUGCAAGUGUCAGCGAAUGAAUAAAGAAAGUAAGCAAGGGCGCAUGGCGGAUGCCUUGGCUCUCGGAGGCGAUGAAGGACGUGAUAAGCUGCGACAAGCUUCGGGGAGGUGCAAAUAACCUUUGAUCCGAAGAUUUCCGAAUGGGACAACCCAAUAUCCUGAAGGGAUAUUAUCCUACUUAGUAGGAGGCUAACGCAGGGAACUGAAACAUCUUAGUACCUGCAGGAAAAGAAAAUAAACAAUGAUUCCCCAAGUAGUGGCGAGCGAACGGGGAACAGCCCAAACCAUUCAUGUUACGGCAUGUGUGGGGUUGUAGGACUACGAUAUCGGACGAAAGCUGAUGAAAAGAAUGAUCUGGAAAGUUCAACCAUAGAGCAUGAAAGUUGCGUAUUUGAAGUCAGCCGAACCGUAGUAGUAUCCUGAGUAGCGCGGAGCACGAGGAAUUCUGCGUGAAUCUGCCGGGACCAUCCGGUAAGGCUAAAUACUCCCGAGAGACCGAUAGCGAACC
rnacentral:rRNA from 1 species